rnacentral:rRNA from 1 species
GAUGAACGCUAGCGGCAGGCCUAAUACAUGCAAGUCGAACGGUGAUAGCAAUAUCAUAGUGGCGCACGGGUGCGUAACACGUAUGCAACCUACCUAUUAUUGGGGGAUAGCCUUUGGAAACGGAGAUUAAUACCGCAUAAUACGAUUGACUGGCAUCGGUUGAUUGUUAAAGCUUUGGCGAUAAUAGAUGGGCAUGCGUCCAAUUAGUUAGUUGGUUAGGUAACGGCUGACCAAGACGAUGAUUGGUAGGGGAUCUGAGAGGAUAAUCCCCCACACUGGCACUGAGAUACGGGCCAGACUCCUACGGGGGGCAGCAGUAGGGAAUAUUGGGCAAUGGGCGGAAGCCUGACCCAGCCAUGCCGCGUGCAGGAAGAAGGCGUUAUGCGUUGUAAACUGCUUUUUUACAAGAGAAAACCUCCCUACGUGUAGGGAGCUGAUAGUAUUGUAGGAAUAAGCAUCGGCUAACUUCGUGCCAGCAG